AAUGAACGCUGGCGGCAUGGAUUAGGCAUGCAAGUUGAACGCUCUCUUCGGAGAGAGUGGCGAAAGGGUGAGUAACGCGUGAGUGAUCUGCCCCCAAGACUGGAAUAACUGUUGGGAACGGCAGCUAAUACCGGAUGUGAUUACAUAACUGCAUGGUUUUGUGAUUAAAGAUUUAUUGCUUGGGGAUGAGCUCGCGUCCCAUUACGCUUGUUGGUAAGGUAACGGCUUACCAAGGCUGUGACGGGUAGGUGGUCUGAGAGGAUGGUCACCCACACUGGGACUGAGACACUGCCCAG
rnacentral:rRNA from 1 species